AUUGAACGCUGGCGGCAUGCCUUACACAUGCAAGUCGAACGGCAGCACGGGAGCAAUCCUGGUGGCGAGUGGCGAACGGGUGAGUAAUACAUCGGAACGUGCCCAGUUGUGGGGGAUAGCCCGGCGAAAGCCGGAUUAAUACCGCAUACGACCUACGGGUGAAAGCGGGGGAUCGCAAGACCUCGCGCAAUUGGAGCGGCCGAUGGCAGAUUAGCUUGUUGGUGGGGUAAAAGCCUACCAAGGCGACGAUCUGUAGCUGGUCUGAGAGGACGACCAGCCACACUGGGACUGAGACACGGCCCAGACUCCUACGGGAGGCAGCAGUGGGGAAUUUUGGACAAUGGGCGCAAGCCUGAUCCAGCCAUGCCGCGUGUGGGAAGAAGGCCUUCGGGUUGUAAACCACUUUUGUCAGGGAAGAAACGGUCUGAUCUAAUAAAUCGGACUAAAGACGUACCUGAAGAAUAAGCACCG
rnacentral:rRNA from 1 species